rnacentral:rRNA from 1 species
UAAUACGUAGGGUGCGAGCGUUAAUCGGAAUUACUGGGCGUAAAGCGUGCGCAGGCGGUUUCGCAAGUCAGAUGUGAAAGCCCCGGGCUUAACCUGGGAACUGCGUUUGAAACUACGAAGCUGGAGUACGGCAGAGGGAGGUGGAAUUCCAAGUGUAGCAGUGAAAUGCGUAGAUAUUUGGAGGAACACCGAUGGCGAAGGCAGCCUCCUGGGCUAGUACUGACGCUCAUGCACGAAAGCGUGGGGAGCAAACAGGAUUAGAUACCCUGGUAGUCCACGCCCUAAACGAUGGCAACUAGUUGUUGGGGAUUAACAUCCUUAGUAACGCAGCUAACGCGUGAAGUUGCCCGCCUGGGGAGUACGGUCGCAAGAUUAAAACUUAAAGGAAUUGACGG